UUAUACAAACCAUCACAGAGCUCAUCUCAAUAGUUCGUUACUAGAGGAGUUUCUCGGUGCAGAGCACCCAAGACCAUGAGGCUGUGAGGUGGAGUUCCCUCUUGUGUGGGAAGCUGGCUGUAGGUGCUGCUUCUAGCCGCUGCCCUGUGCCAUUGCCAUUAAUGAUCCAUCUUCUCUCCUCUGAGAGAGUGAGAGGAGGGGAAGGCAGUCUGAGUGGA